ACGCGAGGAACCUUACCAGGUCUUGACAUCCCAUUGACCGCUAUGGAGACAUAGCUUUCCUUUCGGGGACAGUGGUGACAGGUGGUGCAUGGUUGUCGUCAGCUCGUGUCGUGAGAUGUUGGGUUAAGUCCCGCAACGAGCGCAACCCUUGUUCUUAGUUGCCAUCAUUUAGUUGGGCACUCUAAGGAGACUGCCGGUGACAAACCGGAGGAAGGUGGGGAUGACGUCAAAUCAUCAUGCCCCUUAUGACCUGGGCUACACACGUGCUACAAUGGACGGUACAAACGGUUGCCAACCCGCGAGGGGGAGCUAAUCCGAUAAAACCGUUCUCAGUUCGGAUUGUAGGCUGCAACUCGCCUACAUGAAGCCGGAAUCGCUAGUAAUCGCGGAUCAGCAUGCCGCGGUGAAUACGUUCCCGGGCCUUGCACACACCGCCCGU
rnacentral:rRNA from 1 species